UACGUAGGGUGCGAGCGUUAAUCGGAAUUACUGGGCGUAAAGCGUGCGCAGGCGGUUCGCUGUGUCCGAUGUGAAAGCCCCGGGCUUAACCUGGGAAUGGCAUUGGAAACUGGCGGGCUUGAGUGUGGCAGAGGGGGGUGGAAUUCCUAGUGUAGGAGUGAAAUCCGUAGAUAUUAGGAGGAACACCGGUGGCGAAGGCGGCUACCUGGACCGAUAUUGACGCUGAGACGCGAAAGCGUGGGGAGCAAACAGG
rnacentral:rRNA from 1 species